CAGUCGCCGCGGUAAUACGUAGGGUGCGAGCGUUAAUCGGAAUUACUGGGCGUAAAGCGCACGUAGGCUGCUUUGUAAGUCAGAGGUGAAAGCCCGGGGCUCAACCCCGGAUGUGCCUUUGAGACUGCAGAGCUAGAAUCGCGGAGAGGUGAGUGGAAUUCCGAGUGUAGAGGUGAAAUUCGUAGAUAUCAAGAAGAAUACCUAUUGCGAAGGCGAUCUGCUGGAACUUAACUGACGCUAAUGCGUGAAAGCGUGGGGAGCAAACAGGAUUAGAUACCCCAGUAGUACCUGUCUCUUAUAC
rnacentral:rRNA from 1 species